AGAAUAAAUAAAUAAAUAAAUAGAUAGAUAAACAGUCCUACAUGUUUUAUGUAACAGAGUCGUGUCGCAGUGCGGGCGUAAUAAGAAAAUUCCGCCAAGGCGAACAAGCCGUCCGCCUCUAUAUAGAUUUUUUUUUCUUCACAAAGCUUAUUCUGCUUAAAUAAUAUCAUAUUUUUGUCAAUAAAACAAAUACUUUUCGAUCCUGACACGGUUUGUUAGUAAACAAAUGACUUUAUAUCAGAUAUUAAUUUUACACAGACAGCACUCGUUUCUGCCGCGCUGUACUCCUAACUGUUCCUCCCGGCAACAGCCCUAAAAACUACAAUUCCCAUGAUUCCUGGCGCUCUGUCGCUGCAUGUAUUCAAGAUGCAUUUUUCACUCAUUGGCCGUCAGCUGUUUUUGUCCAAUGCCAAAAUCAGGGUGGGCAAGUGAGGUGGCCGGCGCAGGGAUACGCCACUGUCCUCUCUUUCUCCAAUCCCAGCUCCCUUCUCCCUCCAUCCAUCCCUGCUAAGUUAUCACACAGACCAUCCUUUAUCUAUCUCCCUCCUCCGCCAGUCUCUCUGUAUCUCUUUCUCUCUCUCUAGCCAUCGCGAUGCUCGACAUUUUCAUCCUGAUGUUUUUCGCCAUUAUUGGUCUUGUUGUCCUGUCGUAUAUAAUUUAUAUGCUGUGAGGGCAGAAUCACCGACCGACCGAGAGUAACACAAGCAAUGAGGCCUGGAUUGAAGGCGCAUCUGUGGGCUGAAAUACCGACCUGCACACGGCAAGAUGCUUGAAAUCUUCGGAUGGACAGAAAGGUGGACACAGCGAGACACCCCGGGGUUUCGAAUGUGCUGGGGGAGUCCUCUGAGCCUUGGAGAGGAGGUGAGCGACCGAGACUAUACAAGUCCUCGCCGUCCCCGGUCCGCACUCCUCCCACUGCGAACAUGGAAUCCACGGGCGAGCUUUCCAAUUCAGACCUCUCUGCUGUAACCACCGGAGCCGCUGCUGCCUCCUCCCGGACUCUCUCCAGUUGUGUUUUCCUCUCACGGCAGCACACGCAGGGCUCUCAUGAGCAGGUCUGCGUGUAGCGGCAGCGGGUUGCAUGUGUAUCGGCGUGUUGUUCCACACACUCCCUGAACAGACCCUGCCCCCGUGUCGCUGUGCUGUUCACACCCCCUUGUGUGUUAUCACUGCAGCCAUUAAAACUGGUUUGUUUGA